CAACGGUCAUGUGGUUAUUCGAGCACGCGAGAACCUUACCAAGUCUUGACAUCCCGAUGUAAGCACCAGAGAUGGUGUCCCUCUUCGGAGCAUCGGUGACAGGUGGUGCAUGGUUGUCGUCAGCUCGUGUCGUGAGAUGUUGGGUUAAGUCCCGCAACGAGCGCAACCCUUGAUUUUAGUUGCCAGCAUUUCGGAUGGGCACUCUAGAAUGACUGCCGGUGACAAACCGGAGGAAGGCGGGGAUGACGUCAAAUCAUCAUGCCCCUUAUGACUUGGGCUACACACGUACUACAAUGGCCGGUACAACGGGAAGCGAAGGAGCGAUCUGGAGCGAAUCCUAGAAAAGCCGGUCUCAGUUCGGAUUGCAGGCUGCAACUCGCCUGCAUGAAGUCGGAAUUGCUAGUAAUCGCGGAUCAGCAUGCCGCGGUGAAUACGUUCCCGGGUCUUGUACACACCGCCCGUCACACCACGAGAGUUUACAACACCCGAAGUCGGUGAGGUAACCGCAAGGAGCCAGCCGCCGAAGGUGGGGUAGAUGAUUGGGGUGAAGUCGUACAGGGGGGUCCCAUAUA
rnacentral:rRNA from 1 species